rnacentral:rRNA from 1 species
AGCAGCCGCGGUAAUUCCAGCUCCAAUAGCGUAUAUUAAAGUUGUUGCAGUUAAAAAGCUCGUAGUUGAAUUUCGGGGUUUAUCCGUUGGUCGGGCUUUUGGGUCUGUACUGGCGUGAUGGAUUCCUACCUUCCGAAUAACCAGCAUGUCAUUAAUUUGGUGCGUUGGGGAAGCAGGACUGUUACCUUGAAAAAAUUAGAGUGCUUAAAGCAGGCUAUUGCCUGAAUACAUUAGCAUGGAAUAAUGAAAUAGGACGCAUGGUCCUAUUUUGUUGGUUUCUAGGAUCACCGUAAUGAUUAAUAGGGAUAGUUGGGGGCAUUAGUAUUCAAUUGUCAGAGGUGAAAUUCUUGGAUUUAUUGAAGACUAACUACUGCGAAAGCAUUUGCCAAGGAUGUUUUCAUUAAUCAAGAACGAAAGUUAGGGGAUCGAAGACGAUCAGAUACCGUCGUAGUCUUAACCAUAAACUAUAGCCGACUAGGGAUCGGAUGAUGUUAAUUUUUAAUGACUCAUUCGGCGCCUU